rnacentral:rRNA from 1 species
UACGUAGGGGGCAAGCGUUGUCCGGAUUUAUUGGGCGUAAAGAGCGCGUAGGCGGCCGAGUAAGUCCGACGUGAAAUCUGGAGGCUCAACCUCCAGCGGUCGUUGGAAACUACUCGGCUAGAGUCCGGAAGAGGAGAGUGGAAUUCCUGGUGUAGCGGUGAAAUGCGCAGAUAUCAGGAAGAACACCGAUGGCGAAAGCAGCUCUCUGGGACGGUACUGACGCUGAGGCGCGAAAGCGUGGGGAGCGAACAGG